UAGAAACGUCCAACUCCAAUCAAAAAUCUUUCGGCUACUUGGUAGAAGGAGAUGGGACAAAGACCGCUAGUACCUCUGUCUCAGGCUCCGAUCUUUACUUCGCCUGUAAUGCCUCAUAGUUGACCUACGGUCCUGGAUCUUCCUUAAAGUCCUUCUUCUUAGCUGCAAUAGAGCUAAGCUAGGUAGUAGCAUUUUGUGCUUGAGCAUUGGCCGCCUAAAGCUCGCCUUCCUAUUUGCUCUCCUUAGUAGCUAACUUUUCAGCUUGCUUCUAGAGGAUG
rnacentral:lncRNA from 1 species